rnacentral:tRNA from 1 species
UCUAAUAUGGCAGAUUAGUGUAUUGAAUUUAAGCUUCAAAUAUAAAGUAUUCCUUUUGUUAGAA